CUAGACGACGCUGGCGGCGUGCCUAAUACAUGCAAGUCGAGCGAAUCUUUGGGAGCUUGCUCCCAUUGGUUAGCGGCGGACGGGUGAGUAACACGUGGGCAACCUGCCUGUAAGACUGGGAUAACUUCGGGAAACCGGAGCUAAUACCGGAUAAUUCUUUUCCUCUCAUGAGGAAAAGCUGAAAGUCGGUUUACGCUGACACUUACAGAUGGGCCCGCGGCGCAUUAGCUAGUUGGUGAGGUAACGGCUCACCAAGGCGACGAUGCGUAGCCGACCUGAGAGGGUGAUCGGCCACACUGGGACUGAGACACGGCCCAGACUCCUACGGGAGGCAGCAGUAGGGAAUCUUCCACAAUGGACGAAAGUCUGAUGGAGCAACGCCGCGUGAGCGAUGAAGGCCUUCGGGUCGUAAAGCUCUGUUGUUAGGGAAGAACAAGUACCGGAGUAACUGCCGGUACCUUGACGGUACCUAACCAGAAAGCCACGGCUAACUACGUGCCAGCAGCCGCGGUAAUACGUAGGUGGCAAGCGUUGUCCGGAAUUAUUGGGCGUAAAGCGCGCGCAGGCGGUCCUUUAAGUCUGAUGUGAAAGCCCACGGCUCAACCGUGGAGGGUCAUUGGAAACUGGGGGACUUGAGUGCAGAAGAGGAAAGCGGAAUUCCACGUGUAGCGGUGAAAUGCGUAGAGAUGUGGAGGAACACCAGUGGCGAAGGCGGCUUUCUGGUCUGUAACUGACGCUGAGGCGCGAAAGCGUGGGGAGCAAACAGGAUUAGAUACCCUGGUAGUCCACGCCGUAAACGAUGAGUGCUAAGUGUUAGGGGGUUUCCGCCCCUUAGUGCUGCAGCUAACGCAUUAAGCACUCCGCCUGG
rnacentral:rRNA from 1 species